UACGGAAUGUGCAAACGUUAUUCGGAAUCACUGGGCUUAAAGAGUCCGUAGGCGGCCUGUUAGGUGAGGUGUGAAAUCCCCCGGCUCAACCGAGGAAUUGCGCUUCAAACCGGCGUGCUUGAGGAAGAUAGAGGUGGGCGGAACUGAUGGUGGAGCGGUGAAAUGCGUUGAUAUCAUCAGGAACACCGGAGGCGAAGGCGGCCCACUGGGUCUUUUCUGACGCUGAGGGACGAAAGCUAGGGGAGCGAACGGG
rnacentral:rRNA from 1 species